rnacentral:tRNA from 1 species
GGAGGGGUAGCCAAGUGGCCAACGGCAACAGACUGUAAAUCUGUCGGUCCUCGACCUUCGGUGGUUCGAAUCCACCCCCCUCCACAA